rnacentral:rRNA from 1 species
UACGUAGGGGGCUAGCGUUGUCCGGAAUCAUUGGGCGUAAAGCGCGUGUAGGCGGUCCGGUAAGUCCGCUGUGAAAGUCGGGGGCUCAACCCUCGGAUGCCGGUGGAUACUGUCGGGCUUGAGUACGGAAGAGGCGAGUGGAAUUCCUGAUGUAGCGGUGGAAUGCGCAGAUAUCAGGAGGAACACCGGUGGCGAAGGCGGCAUCCUGGACCAACACUGACGCUGAGGAGCGAAAGCCAGGGGAGCAAACGGG